rnacentral:piRNA from 1 species
AAGAUGGAGUGUAUGUAGAAGGG